ACUCCUCUUUCUUGAAUUUUGUUUCAGCAUCUUCAAGGUCUCGAUAAUUAUUCACUUUAAAAAUUUAUUCGAUUCCAAACCUGCUGAGCAUCCGAAAUGGCACCUCAAUUGUUUUUCACAACAUUUGCAAUCAUCUUUCAACGCAGAUAGAGCUUAAGGGUGAGUCCUGCCUAUAUUUCUGGGGUAAACUCAAAGGACUUAGAGUAAAACCUCCUACCUUCUGAGCUUCUCGGGAGCUGAUGCCGAUGCAAUAUAUUGGAAUGCUACGUUGUAUCGGGAUGUGUCGCAAAAUAAUGUUCUACAGAAGGUAUCGGGAGUCUUAUGCCAGGACGUGGAUGCCUCUAAUCACGACAAAACCUCCUCCAUCAAUACCCAUGACACGUGCGUGAUAGUUUGGGCAGAGCCUGGUUGUAAAGGGAACCACAAGAAGAUACAACCUGGCACUCCACAUCAUGACGAUUUUGAACAGCUCGGGUUCAACGAUGUCUUGUCAUCCGUUGGGCCUUGUUGAAAAGGGAAAGGAAAUUGUCGUGGAUUUGAUAGCUCGCUGAAAAAAAAAAUCGACUCUUUUCAACAGAGACAACUGUUUUCUUUGACAGCAUCCUGUUGCGCUGAAAUAAUGCUCCUUUAUUUCGUCAAAUAUCGCCCGGGGGUUCAAAUAUUUAUUGCCUUUCAAAAGGACGAACUCCAAAAUGUAUGAGACAGCCAAGGAUUAUUUUAAUUAUAUUAAAACCAAUCACAAGAAGAGUGGGUACUGAUUAAAAUAUUAUUGUUCUUGUACUACUUCAGGUCAAUAUAGGAAGUGAAACGCCGAACAAAACAAACUUUGUGUUGAUCGUGUUACAGUUUGCGGUGAAUUUAGCGCAGGAAACAGUGGAAGGGUUGGGUAAAUCAGUGGCGUGGCGUGAAUUGCGAUUUAUCGAUUGAGCUGUCAUUUAAACCUAUGAAAAAACUAAAAAGAUCGAUUAUCAGGGUGUUUGCAGCGAACACCUUAAUAAUCGAUUCUUUACCAUGGCUUCAAAUGGCGAGAUAUCGAUAAUCGAUUAUUCACGCCACGCCUCUGUGGUAAAUGUAUUCCUCCGAAUGGAGCAUCGGCAUUCACCGCAAUAAGACUAGUUGGAUUCGAUUUUGCAAUAAGGAACCACUAUUUCUAGCUCAUUUUAGAAACAACAUAUGUGUGGUUUCCCUAUGCGGAUAUGCGUUUUUAUGAAAGAGCCAGAGAUAGUGGUUCCUUAUUGCAAAAUGUAAUCCAGUUGGUAUUUUCUCUGGAAAGUGUCAACCGAAGUCUAGGGUUAUUUAGUCUUUUAUUUCCGUAUUAACCAAACUUUUGUGUUGCAAUUUCUCUCCGUGCACAGUUACAACCAAGAACGACAACGCCCAAAAAUAGUGGUAAAAAAUCAGUGGCGUGGCGUGAAUUGCGAUGUAUCGAUUGUUAUUCCAUUUAAACCCAUGGUAAAUAAUCAAUUAUCAAGGUCUUCGCUGCGAACACCCUGUCUAUCGAUCCUUUUCCAUGAGUUUAAAUGGCAUAACAAUCGAUUUAUUGCAAAGCACGCCACGCCACUGUAAAAAAUAGAAUAAUAUAACGACGAAUGUCGUAUCUUAGCCUGCAAUUAUUUUUUGAAUCAUUAGCAAUGAUUAAGUGGAAAUUUAUUCAAUGGGAAUAAUUGUUAAAAACUAGUGUGAUGUUCUUUUUCCUCUUCGUGCGAAAAAAAA
rnacentral:lncRNA from 1 species